rnacentral:rRNA from 1 species
AUUGAACGCUGGCGGCAGGCCUAACACAUGCAAGUCGAACGAGUGGCGGACGGGUGAGUAAUGUCUGGGAAACUGCCCGAUGGAGGGGGAUAACUACUGGAAACGGUAGCUAAUACCGCAUACCAUCGGAUGUGCCCAGAUGGGAUUAGAUGGUAGGUGAGGUAACGGCUCACCUAGGCGACGAGCCCUGGCUGGUCUGAGAGGAGGACCAUGCACACUGGAACUGAGACACGGUCCAGACUCCCACGGGAGGAAGCAGUGGGGAAUAGUGCACAAUGGGCGCAAGCCUGAUGCAGCGAUGCCGCGUGUAUGAAGAAGGCAUUCGGGUUGUAAAGUACUUUCAGCUGGGAGGCGUUACCCGCAGAAGAAGCACCGGCUAACUCCGUGCCAGCAGCCGCGGUAAUUC